rnacentral:rRNA from 1 species
CCUACGGGAGGCAGCAGUGAGGAAUAUUGGUCACUGGGCGCGAGCCUGAACCAGCCAAGUCGCGUGAGGGAAGACGGUCCUAUGGAUUGUAAACCUCUUUUGUAGGGGAGCAAAAGAAGCCACGCGUUGCGUUCCGAGAGUACCCGAAGAAAAAGGAUCGGCUAAUUCCGGGCCAGCAGCCGCGGUAAUACGGCGUAUGCGAGCGUUAUCAGGAUUGAUUGGGUUUACAGGGCGCGCAGGCGGACGAACAAGUCUGCGGUAAAAUGGAGAGUCUCAACCUCUUCGAGCCGUUGAAACUGGUUUUCUUGAGUGCGCGAGAAGUAUGCGGAAUGCGUGGUGUAGCGGUGAAAUGCAUAGAUAUCACGCAGAACUCCGAUUGCGAAGGCAGCAUACCGGCGCUCAACUGACGCUCAGGCACGAAGGUGUGGGUAUCGAAAAGGAUUAGAUACCCGAGUAGUC